GAUGAACGCUGGCGGCGUGCCUAAUACAUGCAAGUCGAGCGAACGGACGAGAAGCUUGCUUCUCUGAUGUUAGCGGCGGACGGGUGAGUAACACGUAGAUAACCUACCUAUAAGACUGGGAUAACUUCGGGAAACCGGAGCUAAUACCGGAUAAUAUUUUGAACCGCAUGGUUCAAAAGUGAAAGACGGUCUUGCUGUCACUUAUAGAUGGAUCCGCGCUGCAUUAGCUAGUUGGUAAGGUAACGGCUUACCAAGGCAACGAUGCAUAGCCGACCUGAGAGGAUGAUCAGCCACACUGGAACUGAGACACGGUCCAGACUCCUACGGGAGGCAGCAGUAGGGAAUCUUCCGCAAUGGGCGAAAGCCUGACGGAGCAACGCCGCGUGAGUGAUGAAGGUCUUCGGAUCGUAAAGCUCUGUUAUUAGGGAAGAACAUAUGUGUGAGUAACUGUGCACAUCUUGACGGUACCUAAACAGAAAGCCACGGCUAACUACGUG
rnacentral:rRNA from 1 species